rnacentral:piRNA from 1 species
AAAGGGGACUAGAGAGAUAAAUGC